AUGAUAAUACAAGCGGAACUACGUAGCUAAUACUGUUGUAACUGGGGAUCCUUAUUGUAGCAACACACUUUUGUAGGGAAGGCAAUCCUGCGCUGCGUUAGCUAAAUUUUCAUGUCAUCGGGUGUAGUUCAUAAAGGUUGAAGAGUGUAUGUUAGGAUGAAGUGUGAAUUCAUGCCAGGAAUAAUAAGUGUGAAGUUUGAUUUCCUCCCUUCUGUAAUAAGCAGCCAAUGAGAUCAAACGUCCUGCCUGUAAAUCCUGGGUAUGCCCCACAUCAUUAAUUAAUAAAGAUGUGUAGAAAACUGUUUAGCCAUAGUUAAAGGCCUUUCAUAAAGAGCCUGUCAUGAUUGCAUGUCCCUUAUGUUUAACACGUAUUGCUUGUUACAGAAUACUACUGUUGUACAUUUAAUAUCCCCUAGCAGAUUUCGUUGCCUUUGCACAAAUUCUGUCAUGUUACUGUGGUCUUUUUAAAAGUCAAUAAAUAUGUGUGUAAAGUGUA